rnacentral:rRNA from 1 species
AACCUCCGCAAUGUGAGAAAUCGCGACGGGGGGAUCCCAAGUGCCAUUCUUAACGGGAUGGCUUUUCAUUAGUGUAAAGAGCUUUUGGAAUAAGAGCUGGGCAAGACCGGUGCCAGCCGCCGCGGUAACACCGGCAGCUCUAGUGGUAACAAUUUUUAUUGGGCCUAAAGCGUCCGUAGCCGGUUUAAUAAGUCUCUGGUGAAAUCCUGUAGCUUAACUGUGGGAAUUGCUGGAGAUACUAUUAGACUUGAGACCGGGAGAGGUUAGAGGUACUCCCAGGGUAGAGGUGAAAUUCUGUAAUCCUGGGAGGACCGCCUGUUGCGAAGGCGUCUAACUGGAACGGUUCUGACGGUGAGGGACGAAAGUUAGGGGCGCGAACCGGAUUAGAUACCCGGGUAGUCCUAACUGUAAACGAUGCGGACUUGGUGUUGGGGUGGCUUUGAGCUGCUCCAGUGCCGAAGGGAAGCUGUUAAGUCCGCCGCCUGGGAAGUACGGGCGCAAGACUGAAACUUAAAGGAAUU